CCUACGGGGGGCUGCAGUGGGGAAUAUUGGACAAUGGGGGGAACCCUGAUCCAGCCAUGCCGCGUGUGUGAAGAAGGCCCUCGGGUUGUAAAGCACUUUCAGUGAGGAAGAACGCCUGGUGGUUAAUACCCAUCAGGAAAGACAUCACUCACAGAAGAAGCACCGGCUAACUCCGUGCCAGCAGCCGCGGUAAUACGGAGGGUGCGAGCGUUAAUCGGAAUUACUGGGCGUAAAGCGCGCGUAGGUGGCUUGAUAAGCCGGUUGUGAAAGCCCCGGGCUCAACCUGGGAACGGCAUCCGGAACUGUCAAGCUAGAGUGCAGGAGAGGAAGGUUGAAUUCCCGGUGUAGCGGUGAAAUGCGUAGAGAUCGGGAGGAAUACCAGUGGCGAAGGCGGCCUUCUGGACUGACACUGACACUGAGGUGCGAAAGCGUGGGUAGCAAACAGGAUUAGAUACCCCAGUAGUC
rnacentral:rRNA from 1 species